rnacentral:rRNA from 1 species
AUUGAACGCUGGCGGCAGGCCUAAUACAUGCAAGUCGAACGAGUGGCGGACGGGUGAGUAAUGUCUGGGAAACUGCCUGAUGGAGGGGGAUAACUACUGGAAACGGUAGCUAAUACCGCAUACCAUCAGAUUUUCCCAGAUGGGAUUACCUAGUAGGUGGGGUAACGGCUCCCCUAGGCGACGAUCCCUAGCUGGUCUGAGAGGAGGACCAGCAAGUCUGGAACUGAGACACGGUCAAGACUCCUACGGGAGGCAGCAGUGGGGAAUAUUGGACAAUGGGGGCAAGCCGUAUGCAGCCAUGCCGCUUGUAUGAAGAAGGCCUUCGGGUUGUAAAGUACUUUCAGCGGGGAGGCGUUACCCGAAGAAGAAGCACCGGCUAACUCCGUGCCAGCAGCCGCGGUAAUAC